rnacentral:rRNA from 1 species
GACGAACGCUGGCGGCGUGCUUAACACAUGCAAGUCGAACGAAGUGGCGGACGGGUGAGUAACGCGUAGUCAACCUGCUCUUCAGAGGGGGACAACAGUUGGAAACGACUGCUAAUACCGCAAACUGAAGGAGGGGAAUGGGUGUGAUUAGCUAGUUGGAGGGGUAACGGCCACCCAAGGCGAUGAUCAGUAGGCGGUCUGAGAGGAUGAACGGCCACAUUGUGACUGAGACACGGCCCAGACUCCUAUGGGAGGCAGCAGUGGGGAAUCUUCCGAAAUGGACGAAAGUCUGACGGAGCAACGCCGCGUGAGUGAUGACGGCCUUCGGGUGGUAAAGCUCUGUUAAUCGGGACGCGGUACCGGAAUAGAAAGCCACGGCUAACUACGUGCCAGCAGCCGCGGUAAUUC